UACGAAGGGGGCUAGCGUUGCUCGGAAUCACUGGGCGUAAAGGGUGCGUAGGUGGCGCGGUAAGUCGGGUGUGAAAUCUCGGAGCUUAACUCCGAAAUUGCAUUCGAUACUGCCGUGCUCGAGGACUGGAGAGGAGACUGGAAUUCAUGGUGUAGCAGUGAAAUGCGUAGAGAUCAUGAGGAAGACCAGUGGCGAAGGCGGGUCUCUGGACAGUUCCUGACACUGAGGCACGAAGGCCAGGGGAGCAAACAGG
rnacentral:rRNA from 1 species